UCUGUCUGUCUGUCUGAUGGAACAUGGACCUGUCUGUCUGUCUGUCUGUCUGUCUGUCUGUCUAAUGGAACAUGGACCUGUCUGUCUGUCUGCCUGUCUAAUGGAACAUGGACCUGUCUGUCUCUCAGCGGAUCUGGUAACGAGUUCUUCUCGAUGUCGCGACUCAUCGUAAGACGAGCAUUGUAACACGACAAGAACUCAGUCAACUCUGAUCUGCUGGCGAGAAUCAAGUCGUCCCCUCGUAAGGUCCUGAAGGAGCGGGGAAGCAGACCUUGAGUUGGAAGUAUGUUUCCUAGUUGAUGGAUUCAAAGGAUUCUCUUCAACUCUUCCCUCCUUUCAGCAGCAGUCGAUUUCUUUUGUCCGAUGAUUCGUACUUUGCCAAAACUGUCUCCCGACUCUGACGAGUUGAGUCUCCUGGUGAAGGUUGGUCUCAGUGCUGCACUGUGACGCGUGUGACUGAGAACUGUGCCUUUGUGGAAAAGACUAAAUAAACUGUAAAUAUUUGUACCAUGUGCUCUGUUGUUUCUGAUUUCACUGUAACAGCUCCGAGCCAACAGGAGGUUUAAUCGUUGGCAGCUCGACUCGUCAUGUUCGUCUGAGUCGUCAUGUUCGUUCGUCUGAGUCGUCUAAGCUACGUUAGCUUGUUAGCUUGUUAGCUUGUUAGAGCCUUGUUAGCUUGUUAGCCUUGUUAGUAGCCAUGUUAGCUUGUUAGCCUUGUUAGUAGCCAUGCUAGUUUGUGUAGCCUCGUUAGCUUGUUAGCACAGUGAAGCGAGCGGUUCAGAUUACAAUCAACAACAGUCAUUUGUCAACAGAUUUAAAACUGUUUAUUUAUUGUCUUUUUAAUUUGUCUUUUUGUUGCUUGUUUACCAAUUCAAUUUCUUUAAAUAUUUCUUCACGUACAGUAGACAUUUUGACACGGAGUAGGUGAACACAGGUGUAACUAAUGAUGGUGACGUCAUUCAGAACACCAGGCGGUGGUCGGUUGGAGGGGGCGUGGCCUGUUAGAGGGGGCGGGGUCUGGAGCCCUGCUUCCCUACCUUGAUAAUCGGAGGAUGUAUAAAUAUAAAUGUUCUGUUGUCUCCUCGUCUCUUCCUCUCGGUCCUUCUCUCCUGCCUCUCGCUCUCUGGGUCUCAAUUAAACACAGAUUAAUGGAGGAGAGAAAAAAGACACAAGAGCAGGAGAAUUAAUUACAGCAGAGUUUGGUCUGACGAGCUUCACCAGGUAAUGAGCUCCCCCCGGGACGUGGACUCCUCCUGGUCCUGGUCCUGGUCCUGGUCCAGGUCCAGGUCCUCACGUCCAGACUGUAUCUGGGUUCUUAGCAGUUCGGGUUGUUUGGUUUAGGGCUUAACGUAUUGUACAUGAAAAUGAGACUGUAUCAUAUUUGAGGGGAUUUUUGUUUCAAGCCUCAUAAAAUACCAGAUUUGAUUUUGUAUACAGAAAAGUUCUUGUUUUUUUUGUGUUGAAUCAGAGGAAACCCUCGACUUCAGCCCUGUGUGGUGACCAAGAGAGAAGCAGGAAAUCAAAGUUCAUAUAUGUAUAUAUGUAUACGAAUGUAUACAUAUAUACAUAUACAUAUACAUGUAUAUGUAUAUAAGAUCAUGUAUAAGCAGGAAAAGGAAAAACGAAAUGUUGACACAAAGUUGGAGGAACGUGAACUAAAAUAUCAUUGUGUUCUUAACUUUAUCAACCGAACAAUUUUCAUAGAAGUGUGUCCACAUACAUUUGGCCUAAUGUAUUUGAGCCUGUUCCUCUCAGCAGCAGGAGACGACAGCGAACACUUUGUCUCGUGCGAAUGACAGUGAAGUGAUUCUUCUUCUACACAUUUUCAUUUUAUAUUUUGUCAGAUUGUCUCUGCAGGCGACGGUGAACAGAGACGGACGUCUGACACGCUUCUGUCUCUCCGUCUGAUUGUCAGUUAGUGUCUGAGUGUCCAGCGAGGCAGCAGCUCGCUCAUCAUCGUGUCAUGGCGGCGGCGGCCAUCAGCAGAGGUCAGCGUCUGGAUCGACCUCUCGGCUCGGAGACUCCCAGACGCUUAAUGGAACCAUGAAAAAUAAGGACUUUUUCUUUUCCCCCGUCUCCGCAUUCGUCUCGUGGAAAAGAGUUUUUGAAAAGCACGUGUUGAAGCUUCGUCGGCCGAGGAACCAGAGGAGGAAACGUUCCACCAGACACGUGACUCUGUGUUAAUGACCGGGAUGUGGUCGUCCAUCAUCUGAGACCGAACAUGUCCUCUGACCCGUCCUCAGGUCCAGAUGUUCUGAGUCUGUGUCCGAGUCCACACGAGAACAGAAGCUCGUCUGUUCUCGCUGCUGCUCUUUGACGAGGAGGGCACAAUCUCGACUCUUUCAUUCCUCUGAGCUGCUGGAGGAGGCAGAGCGACCACAGCGCAACCAAACACUCGGCUCCCCGGUAAACACAGCUGCCAUGGCAACCCCCAGAGCCCAGCACGCAGGUCUCCAUGGCAACCGUCGUGUUUUUGUGUAUGUGCAGGAGAGACGAGGAGGAGGAGGAUUGAAACACAUCAGGACUAAUGACUGUCAGAAGUGCGAUAAACAGAAAAUGUAUUGAGCAGCGUCCAGGAGAGAUGCAUGAUGGGAUGUGAGAGGAAAACCACAACAAGGAGUCUCUUCAUUUGUCAUCGUCUGCUCAAGUUAAACAAAGCAUCAGUUCACCUGAGUGGAGAACAAGAACACUGACGACAUCUGAAUUCAUCUCAGUUUCUAUAAAAGCAUCAUGUGUUUUGCAUCAUGUGGUGUUUUGUUAACGUCGCUCGUCACAUGGAAAAAAAACAACAACAUUCCUUUCAUCAGACAAACAGCUGACUGUCGCUUUUCUGUUUCAUAGAAAAAGAACUCAUGUAGGAAAGUAAACAAGUGUGUGAUUGUGUGAAGAAGAAAGAUUCACUGUAUCCGAUGACUUUAAUAAAUUAAUCGUGACGGUUGAUUGGAGAGAAAUAACAACCAGAAACAACAGAUUUAAUGAAUCAGCUUCUUGUCAGUGGCCGAGGUAUCGAGUCAGCUGUCAAUCACGAGUCAGUGUCAGCUGUCAAUCAUCAAUGUGUCUGCCCGUUUUUAUAUCAUCAAAUAAGUGAUGAAAAAUCAAAGUGAUCAGAAACAUGAAGACGUGAACAAACUUCACUUUGAUAAGAAUGACCUCACAUGACAUGGAGGGGGCGGGGCUUACGACCUGUACUGCAGCCAGACACCAGGGGGCGAUCAGGGUGAUUUGGCUUCACUUUGGAGCCGUCAUGUUUAUGUGCAGUCAUUGUUGUAGACAUUUGUGUCUGUGUUGUUAUUGUCUGUGCUCAUCUCAUCGUCCUGACUUGUUCCUGUCACCUCCUCAGGACCAUGUGUCGACUUCCUGCCCUCGUGCCCUGAGGAGGAGGAGGAAGAACAGUGAUGGACGUCACGGCGACGAAGAAAUUUCCUAAUAAUAAUCUUUCCAUUAGGAGGGUUUGAAUGAAAUGGGACUUGACGUCUCCAGUGCGACUUCGCAUGAUUUCACAGCCCGAGACCUCAUUGCAUCACUCGUCUUUCGUGGCGGCCGCGCUCCGUUUUCUGCAGCUUCUCUUUCACGAGUGUAGAUGAAGAAUAGAAGCUGAAGAAGUGAACACGUCGGGUCAUUAACGUGUCUGGAUGUCAGAUCAGCGUUGCGAUAUCCUAAGAUCAGACUUUGAAGUCUUGAACAGACAAACAUUUCCAGUUCCUUCAUCACGGACAUGAAAGAUUAUUUCUCUUUGUCUUUCGAGAAUAAAACCAACUCUCACUUUUAUCAUCCUCCAUUGUUCAUUCAUGAGCUAUGAAACAUUAAAUAUGCACCCUCCUCCACUUUUAUUUACCAAAUGAACUUUCAAAGUGCCACUUGUGGAGAUGAAGGCAGCAGAGCAUCAGUCAUUUGUGCAGAUGUGACCCACUCUGAGCUUCACGUGUGAAUGUUUCAACAGCAGAAACAGAAACACGCCCACAGAUACAAACUACAUCAGCAAAUCACAACACUCCCUCAGAGUCUGGAAAAAUCAAGCCUGAAUAUAACGUGAAUAAAUCAGAUUUUUAA